CAGAAGGAUUCUGUCACAAACAUCCAAAUGAUUAUGAAUUCAUCAGAAAGAUGCUCUCACACACACCAAAGGACAGACCACAGGCCAAAGAAAUAAAGGAAAUUCUUGACAGAUUUUUCUGUAGUGAUCAGAAUGUGUUAAGCCAGAAAACUAUUUAAGAUAAACAGCGGUCUGGUUAAAUAAUCUUCUUAACAUCAAAAUAAUGUCUGUAGUAUUUCUGUCCAAGUCAUAAAUAUAUACUAUUUAUACUAUCAUCAACAUAUCAAUGGUUAAUAUGCUGUGGAGUGGUUUUAUAAACAACAGUAAUAACUAAGAGAGAAAGAGACACUCAUUGUUUUGAUUUUCUUAAAAAAUACUGUACAUUAUAAUAAUGAUUUGAGGCUACUUUAAGAAGACUGUAUUUUCAUAACAUUUUACACAAUGUUUGCUUAUAAGAAAGAACUUUUAACUUUGCAUCUAAAAUAAAACAUUUCUACGAGUCAAA